rnacentral:rRNA from 1 species
AUUGAACGCUGGCGGCAUGCUUUACACAUGCAAGUCGAACGGUAACAGGGUGCUUGCACCGCUGACGAGUGGCGAACGGGUGAGUAAUGCGUCGGAACGUGCCGAGUAGUGGGGGAUAACGCAGCGAAAGUUGUGCUAAUACCGCAUACGUACUGAGGUAGAAAGUGGGGGACCUUCGGGCCUCACGCUAUUCGAGCGGCCGACGUCUGAUUAGCUAGUAGGGGGGGUAAAGGCUCACCUAGGCGACGAUCAGUAGCGGGUCUGAGGGGAUGAUCCGCCACACUGGGACUGAGACACGGCCCAGACUCCUACGGGAGGCAGCAGUGGGGAAUUUUGGACAAUGGGCGAAAGCCUGAUCCAGCCAUGCCGCGUGUCUGAAGAAGGCCUUCGGGUUGUAAAGGACUUUUGUCGGGGAGGAAAUCCCCAGCGUUAAUACCGCUGGGGGAUGACAGUACCUGAAGAAUAAGCACCGGCUAACUACGUGCCAGCCGCCGCGGUAA